UGUUUUAGGGAGACAGGAUAAUAAAGGUGUUUUAGGGAGACAGGAUAAUAAAGGUGUUUUAGGGAGACAGGAUAAUAAAGGUGUUUUAGGGAGACAGGAUAAUAAAGGUGUUUUAGGAAGACAGGAUAAUAAAGGUGUUUUAGGGAGACAGGAUAAUAAAGGUGUUUUAGGGGGUUUAUUAGUCUUUUAGCUUCACUAAUUUCUGUCUUUCUGAUUAUAGGGGGAGUUUUUUUCAUUUUAUCUUUGUUGAAAGUGUUUAAUGUGUAUCUCCAUCUUUUUUGGUUCAAGCUAAUUUCCCAUGCUUUGUUGAUUGCCUUUUCUGCCUGUUAAAGAAAAAAGUACAUUAGUUGUGAUUUCUUUCUUUUCCUUUCAAGAUUUCAUAAGAAGCCGCCGAGGUAAGUGUAUUUUUAGUUUGUACAUUUGUACAAAAAUGAAUCCUGCUUGAACAGGACAAAAGAAAAAUGUACACUGCAAAAAUGCAUUUUCAUGUUUCUCGAAUGAUAAAAAGAUCAUGCACUUUCUGUACUGUCAGUAUGCAACCUGAACAUUGGACCUAGGGGAGGACUUUUUAAAAUAUUUGAAUAGCUUGACAUGGAAUGUGUGAAACACGCCCAACACAAAGAACAAACAAUCAACGGCGGUAGCUGAUCACACUAAAUGUGCAAUUUACCAAUAUGUAACUGCCUGCAGAACAGCAGGCCCAGAUGCUCCUGGUCUGGAGAGACAAACUCCAAAUAUAUGAUUAUGUUGGGAUGGCAGUUACAGCUUGGUGGGGCUGCAUGCCCCAUACCUGAACAGCGCUGUGAGUUUGGCACUUUUCAGGGUUCCCUACCACAGUAGCACAUAAAAUAACCAAAAAGCCCCAAUAAUCAUCAUGAUCAAAUAAUCAUAAAAAUAAAUAACCACAACAACCACCACAGACUCUGUCAUUUCUGUAGAUUCUGACACCAUUUCAACAGACAGAAUUCACAAACAACUUCACAUGUCUGCACAAUAAAGCCCCAAACUUUAGAUUUUGCAUUUUUUUCCUUAUUUUUUUUCCUGCCUGAUUACAUCAUCUCAAAUUCUCCAAGCCCAGAAAGAAUGUUUCCCCGUUGGAUAUUUAGGUACAUCAGCUAAUAAAAACAUUUGAUACACACACACAAAAUGGACAUACAUACAAGUGCGCACAUUUAACAGUAAAAUCUUGCAGCCCUGAUGUGUACUUCCCUUGUAGCUCACUGGGUAGUGCAUUUGCCUUUGUGUCUUUUUGGACGAGUGAUAGAUCGAGUUCAUAGAUCGAGUGAUAGAUCGAGUUCAUAUCCUCCCUUGGACUGAAGCAAACCUCUAACUCAUUACACUAGCUUGAUGGAUAACUAAAAAUAAACCUUUUUAACUAUUGCGUUUACAUCUGUAAAAUUUUUGUGGGAAAGUCAUUUAAAUUUCUGAAAUCCAAUUAAAAUAUACCCACAAUUCAGGCAGUUCUGCUUUCUGCAUUGUUACCGAGUUUAACGUUAGCUACCUGGCAGGCAAGACGACAGACCGAGUGUAUAACACUAGUACAGAUACAGGUGCCUCCGAACUUAAGCUCCAACCAAUGGGUUGCCAAAGAUGUUUUAGGGAGACAGGUUAAUAAAGGUGUUUUAGGGAGACAGGAUAAUGAAGGUGUUUUAGGGAGACAGGAUAAUAAAGGUGUUUUAGGGAGACAGGUUAAUAAAGGUGUUUUAGGGAGACAUGAUAAUAAAGGUGUUUUAGGGAGACAGGUUAAUAAAGGUGUUUUAGGGAGACAGGUUAAUAAAGGAGUUUUAGGGAGACAGGUUAAUAAAGGUGUUUUAGGGAGACAGGAUAAUAAAGGUAUUUUAGGGAGACAGGAUAAUGAAGGUGUUUUAAGGGGUUUAUUAGUCUUUUAGCUUCACUAAUUUCUGUCUUUUUGAUGGUAGGUUGAGUUUUUUUCAUUUUAUCUUUGUUGAAAGGAAACCACUUCAGACUUUCAUUCAGUUUGAUCUCAAAAUAAAUGGAUCAAUAGCAGAAGGAAUCUUAUGAUUCAAGGCACAAUUGUUAUAUUUGAAAUCCAGUAUUGAGAUUGAAACCAUUUACCUGUAGGGAAGUGUUAAAUUGAUGCAUCAAAUUUCAACAAACCCAACUGAUCAUUGAUCAGUUUGUUUCCAUUGUAGUCCUUUGUGAUCCUCACUUUAGCCUGUGUUUAAUGUGUAUCUCCAUCUUUUUGGUUAAAGCUAAUUUCCUAUGUUUUGUUCAUUGCCUUUUUUUCCUGUUCAAGACAAAAGUAAAUUAGUUGUGAUUUCUUUUUUUUUCAAGCUGCCAGAUCAUUAAUCCAAGGUAAGUGUUCUUUUAGUUUGUACAUUUGUACAAUAACUAAUCCUGCUUGAACAGAACAAAAGAAAAACGUACACUGCAAAAAUACAUUUUCAUGUUUCUCGAAUGAUAAAAAGAUCAUGCACUUUCUGUACUGUCAGUAUGCAACCUGAACAUUGUACCAAAGGGACGACCUUUUAAGAUAUUUGAAUAGCUUGGCAUGGAAUGUGUGAAACACGCACCACACAAAGAACAAACAAUCAACGGCGGCAGCUGAUCGCACUAAAUGUGCAAUUUACCGACAUGUAACUGCCUUCAGGACAGCAGGCCCAGAUGCUCCUGGUCUGUAGAGACAAACUCCAAAGAUAUGAUUAUGUUGGGAUGGCAGUUACAGCUUGGUGGGGCUGCAUGCCCCAUACCUGAACAGCGCUGAGAGUUUGGCACUUUUCAGGGUUCCCUACCACAGUACCACAUAAAAUAACCAAAAAGCCCCAGUAAUCAUCAUAAUCAAAUAAUCAUAAAAAUAAAUAACCACAACAACCACCACAAACUGUCAUUUCUGUAGAUUCUGACACCAUUUCAACAGACAGAAUUCACAAACAACUUCACAUCUGCACAAUAAAGCCCCAAACUUUAGAUUUAGCAUUUUUUUCCAUAUUCUUUUUUUUCCCUGCCUGAUUACAUCAUCUCAAUUUUUCCAAGCCCAGAAAGAACGUUUCCCCAUUGGACAUUUAGGUACAUCAGCUAAUAAAAACAUUUGAUACACGCACACAAAAUGGACAGACAUGCUAGUGCACACAUUUAAAACAGUAAAAUCUUGCAGCCCUGAUGUGUACUUCCCUUGUAGCUCACUGGGUAGCGCAUUUGCCUUUGUGUCUUUUUGGACGAGUGAUAGACCCGGGUUCAAAUCCUCCCUUGGACUGAAGCAAACCUCUAACUCAUUACACUAGCUUGCUGGCUAACUAAAAAUAAAACAUUUUAACUAUUGCUUUUGCAUCUGUAAAAUCUUUGUCGGAAAGUCAUUUAAAUUUCUUAAAUCCAAUUAAAAUAUAGCCACAUUUAAGGCAGUUCUGCAUUUUGCAUUUUCACCGAGUUUAACGUUAGCUACCUGGCUAAGAAGACGACAGACCGAGUGUAUAACGCUAGUACAGAUACGGGUGCCUCCGAACUUAAGCUCCAACCAAUGGGUUGCUAAAGAUGUUUUAUGGAGACCGGUUAAUGAAGGUGUUUUAGGGAGACAGGUUAAUAAAGGUGUUUUAGGGAGACAGGUUAAUAAAGGUGUUUUAGAGAGACAGGAUAAUAAAGAUGUUUUAGGGAGACAGGAUAAUAAAGGUGUUUUAGGGAGACAGGAUUAUAAAGGUGUUUUAGGGGGUUUAUUAGUCUUUUAGCUUCACUAAUUUCUGUCUUUUUGAUUAUAGGGUGAGUUUUUUUCAUUUUAUCUUUGUUGAAAGGAAUCCACUUCAGACUUUCAUUCAGUUUAAUCUCAAAAUAAAUGGAUUCAUAGCAGAGGGAAUCUUGUGAUUCAAAGCACAGUUGUUAUAUUUGAAAUCCAGUAUCGAGAUUGAAACAGUUUACCUGUAGGGAAGUGUUAAAUUGAUGCAUCAAAUUUCAACAUACCUAACUGAUCAUUGAUCAGUUUGUUUCCAUUAUAGUCCUUUGUGAUCCUCACUUUAGUCUGUAUUUAAUGUGUAUCUGCAUCUUUUUAGCUAAAAUGCUUCUCGACAAUGUGGAUGUACACGCUUAUGAUGAAACAGUUCCCUCAGAUGCUGUCGGAUCAUUAAUCGAAGUUAAAAAGAUUCUCAACAAUGUGGAUCCACAGGAAUAUGCUUUCGGAUCAUUAAUCCAAGGUAAGUGUUCUUUUAGUUUGUACAUUUGUUCAAUAACUAAUCCUGCUUGAACAGAACAAAACAAACACGUACGCAGCAAAAAUACAUUUUCAUGUUUCUCGAAUGAUGAAAAGAUCAUGCACUUUCUGUACUGUCAGUCUGCUUUUGCAUCUGUGAAAUUUUUGUGGGAAAGUCAUUUAAAUUUCUGAAAUCCAAUGAAAAUAUAGCCACAUUUCAGGCAGUUCCGCUUUCUGCAUUGUCACCGAGUUUAACGUUAGCUACCUGGCUGACAAGACGACAGACCGAGCGUAUAACACUAGUACAGAUACAGGUGCCUCCGAAAUUAAGCUCCAACCAAUGGGUUGCCAAAGAUGUUUUGGGGAGACAGGUUAAUAAAGGUGUUUUAGGGAGACAGGUUAAUAAAGGUGUUUUAGGGAGACAGGUUAAUAAAGGUGUUUUAGGGAGACAGCUUAAUAAGGGUGUUUUAGGGAGACAGGUUAAUAAGGGUGUUUUAGGGAGACAGGUUUAUUGGGGCGUUUUAGGGAGACAGGUAGGAUGAUGGUGUUUUAGGGAGACCGGUUAGUAAGGGUGUUUUAGAGAUACAGGUUAGUAAAGGUUAUCAGCAUUAGAUUUCUAUCUGCCCCCCAGGAACAGCCAGUCAAGCACCUCAUAAUAUUUACAACCUUCUCACACUUACUUAUCAUUUUUUCCACAUGUGCUGUAUAUUUAAUCAAUUUUUAAUCCAGCCACACACCUAAUAACCUUCACUUUUUCAGUUGCUUCUCCAUAUACCCAGACUAUCUAUUUUCUUCUUUCUGCCAAAGAUCACAUAUUUUGUCUUUGAUACUGACAACCUAAAACCCCACUUAUCAGCCCAAGCCUGCUCCUUAUCUAAGGCUCCCUGCAUCUGCCUCAUCAAAUAUUCAACAUUGCGGCCUUUCUUCCAUAUUGCUCCGUCAUCUGCAAAGAGAGAGCUUCCAAAGCCAUCUCCCACUUCAUCAAACAUCAUUCACCAUUAUAUUAAACAGGACAGGACUGAUAACACUACCCUGCGGGGUCCCAUUAUCUACACUUACAGUGUCAGAAAGACUCCCCCCCCCCCCCCCCACCUUUACCUGAAUAGUACGGGAUCUCUAAAAAUCUUUUAUCCAAUUCAACAUCCUGCCCCGAAUCCCUACAUCAUAUAACUUAAUUACCAACCCCUCUUUCCACAACGUAUCGUAAGCCCUCUCUGUAUCUAGGAAGACACCAAUCACUGCCUCCUUAUUCACUAGAGCUCUCUUAAUGUCUCUAACAUCAGGAUUGCGUCCAUUGUUGCUCGACCUAGUCUAAACCCGCUUUGAAAUGGAGAAAAAUACCCUCUCUGCUCUAGUCUAUGCACAAGCCGAUCAGUAGCCAUUCUUUCCAUUAUCUUACAAAUAACUGCUGUAAGGGCAAUAGGCCUGUAUGAUCCAGCACUGUCGGCUUCCUUCCCAGGUUUCAAAAUCGGAACGACCACUGCAUGCUUCCAGCCGGAAUUAGCCCCUCCUCCCACACUGUAUUAAUCAAACAUAACAUCUCCCCCAAAGCAAAGUCAUCCAUGUGCCUAAACAACUCAUAUCCCAGACCAUCUCUUCCAGGGGUGGUAUUAUGCCCUUGCCUUACUGCACGCUUCAGCUCUUCAAUAGAAAAGAAUAAAUUAAUCCCAUCCCUAUUAUUUUUUAUUUAACCUUUAUUUGCCCAGGGUAGGUUCACUGAGCAUGGAUGCUCUUUUGCAGGAAUGCCCACACUCAUACACAUUCACACCUGGGAGCUGCGCAGUACAACCACAAUCCUCUGUUGUUGGCCACUGAGCAGCUCCACUGAAGGAAGAGAACAUUUUUUUUAGCCAAUUAAAUCAGGGGAUGAUUAGGUGGCAAGUUUUUGUGUGAGCCAGAUCUGGUAUUUUAGCCAGGACACCAGGGAACCCCCUACCCUUUGCAAAUAGUAUCAUGGGAUCUUUAAUGACCACAGUGAGUCAUGACCUCGGUUUAACGUCUCAUCCAAAAGAUGGCAUCUCCUACAGCACAGUGUCCCCGUCACUGCACUGGGGCAUUGGGGUUUAUUCGACCAGAGGGAAAAUUGCCUCUCCUUCUCACCUCAUCUGCCUCACCCCAUUUUGCAGCCUUUUUAACAGCCUCAGCAUAAGACACCCCUUUAUUUAUCUCCCUAUACUGCUGCACCCUCAUUUCCUGCUUGUGUUGCUCACACUCACGACUUCCAGCAAUAUGCCCUCCACCACAACUACCACACUUAAUCUCCUUUUCCUUACAAUGAAAAAACUCAUGCUCACCCCCACAUUUACCGCUCCUUCUAGUUCCACGGCAAGCAGCUGCAAUAUGGCCAUACUUCUGGCACUUAAAACACCUCAAGGGUGGCCUCCUAUGUGGAUGAACUUUAAAGGACAAACAUCCUAGAACACUCGCUCUGGAAGAGCCUCUUCCUGAAAAGUUAACACUGCAACAGUUGACUCACAUUUAGUUCCAUCCCGGAAAACUCUUAUUCAAAAUGCCUCAGCAACCUUCGCACCAUCAAUGCCCCUGACCAGUUCCUCCAUAGAUGGUAAAUGGUAAAUGGUAAAUGGACUGCAUUUAUAUAGCGCUUUUAUCCAAAGCGCUUUACAAUUGAUGCCUGUCAUUCGCCAGAGCAGUUAGGGGUUAGGUGUCUUGCUCAAGGACACUUCGACACGCCCAGGGCGGGGUUUGAACCGGCAACCCUCCGACUGCCAAACAAUCGGUCUUACCUCCUGAGCUAUGUCGCCCCCAUAGUAUAUGAUAGAUAUUUCAAGCAAGACCCCAUAGAUCACUCCUUUCAUACCAGCCCUACUCCCUGGGACAAAUCCUUCCACUCGCCUCUUCCCUUUCGCAUCCAGAGAAACAGCUUUGGUCAACUGAGCAGCAGGCUUACAGUAAACAAGCAUCUUUCCAUCUGCCAGAAUCCUUGCAUUUACAAUUUCAGCCAGCUCUUCCUUCAAUGCACUAGCGAGCAGACUGCCCUACCUUCAGUUUAAAGAUCACUUUAAACUCUUCUGACUGGCUGCUGUCCAUUCUCAUUAUCUUUACCUGCUCUCCCCCUCCGUCUGACUCCUGAGAUGAA